rnacentral:rRNA from 1 species
GAACCUGGGAAGGAUCAUUA